rnacentral:rRNA from 1 species
CGCGGCCUAUCAGCUUGUUGGUGAGGUAAUGGCUCACCAAGGCGACGACGGGUAGCCGGCCUGAGAGGGCGACCGGCCACACUGGGACUGAGGCACGGCCCAGACUCCUACGGGAGGCAGCAGUGGGGAAUAUUGCACAAUGGGCGAAAGCCUGAUGCAGCGACGCCGCGUGAGGGAUGACGGCCUUCGGGUUGUAAACCUCUUUCAGCAGGGAAGAAGCGAAAGUGACGGUACCUGCAGAAGAAGCGCCGGCUAACUACGUGCCAGCAGCCGCGGUAAUACGUAGGGCGCAAGCGUUGUCCGGAAUUAUUGGGCGUAAAGAGCUCGUAGGCGGCUUGUCACGUCGGGUGUGAAAGCCCGGGGCUUAACCCCGGGUCUGCAUUCGAUACGGGCUAGCUAGAGUGUGGUAGGGGAGAUCGGAAUUCCUGGUGUAGCGGUGAAAUGCGCAGAUAUCAGGAGGAACACCGGUGGCGAAGGCGGAUCUCUGGGCCAUUACUGACGCUGAGGAGCGAAAGCGUGGGGAGCGAACAGGAUUAGAUACCCUGGUAGUCCACGCCGUAAACGGUGGGAACUAGGUGUUGGCGACAUUCCACGUCGUCGGUGCCGCAGCUAACGCAUUAAGCUCCCCGCCUGGGGAGUACGG